CAGUGCUCUUGGGGGAAAAAAAAUAAGGUGUAAAUGUUUUGGAAGAAAUACCUUAGUUGGUUCUCCUGCCAGGGAAACUGUGGAUACUUCCAGGGAGUGGAAGCGUGGCUUGAAAGUCUGUUGCCUACGUUUGUUCAGCCAGACCAUUCUUCAGUUGCAGGGGAAACACCUGAUCCAGCCUGGACUUGUCACACAGUCACCCUGAGCCCCUAAAGAAGCCAUUAUCUGGCAACAGCAGAUUGGGACCGUCUGUCACGGCAGGGUACACAUGGCUCCACGAAAUGGGGGCUCUCUCGCCCGUGCCUCGGCGUCCACAGACCGGCCUGGGCAGGCGUCAAGUCUGGCUGCAUGACAAUCAGCUGAGCUACACUAUAAACGCAGAUCCUCGGCCUCCCGUCCAGAAGUCUGGGUGCACGCAUUGCCAAAGCUCCCUGGGGCACCCAACCGUCAGCAGCCAAUGGGCAGGCUGCCCUGCUGACCUGGCGCAGGAAGGCGUGGCCCAGGACCGCGCAGGCUCCCUACAGGAGAGCCUGAGGAGGUGUGAUUACCCGGAUCACCGAGAACAGGGCAUGUUCCAGGCUACACUCUUGAGAAGCUCAGUCUUGGAAUGAGAAACGUAAACAUCCCUCGAGAGGCAGCUUUGUCUGUCCAGACCUGGUCUCCCGGAAGAGUUAUGAUCAGCAGCAAAGGCAAACGACCAGCGCUGCCUUUGUUUUCAUUGAUUUCAGUUACACUUUGAAAACGGAGCAUCUAAGCCAAACCAAAUCCCUGACCUUGUUCUGACAAAAAUCCGAAACGAGGAACUUCACGCAGAACUUUCAAAAUUCAGCUGUCUCCAGCUACAGCUGAAUGAAAAGCUCAGACUAAAACUGGCAAGCAUCUACUUCCUACAAACAUGCCUUGCUCCUGGCUAGCUUGUCAGCUCAUAAAAACGCCUCUAUACAAGCAGCUGUCUCAUUGAGGACGCAGCAUCCUUUCACGGUCGUCAGUGGGGUGUGCUACCCAGGACCCAGUCCAGGACCCCUGCUCCAGAGCCCAGCCCAGCGUGGGGCCUUCCCCCUCCCUGGGAUGCCUUUGUUCUAAUGUGAUGACUUGCAGUUUCAACAAAUGGUGAUAGAAAAUGUCGUGCUCUUCAUGAAAUCCCCUCAUCGUUCUGUUUCCCAGAAGCCUGUUUGUGGAAAAAGCCAGCCCCGAAGGCAAAACAGAGGAGGUCUCCGAGGUUUCCAAUUCUUAAUCCUAGCUCUUGCUCUUUGUUGCUCUGGGCUAAUUCACUUAAUGCCUUUAUAUCUUUAAAUGUUUCCUUGGUGAGUUGGGUAACUUGCGGUGACCACCCUGAGCUAGUUUGCUAGAGAGAAAUCAAAUGAAAAUUAUGGCAAACCAUUUUGCAAAUAUAAAGUGGCUGAUGAAUAACCAUAAUGGCUUUCCCAAAGAGCCAGUAAAUAAAUUGAUGACACAUCCAGGAUGCCUCA
rnacentral:lncRNA from 1 species